AAUGAACGCUGGCGGCAGGCCUAACACAUGCAAGUCGAACGGAUCCUUCGGGAUUAGUGGCGGACGGGUGAGUAACGCGUGGGAACAUACCCUUUGGUACGGAAUAGCCUCGGGAAACUGGGAGUAAUACCGUAUGUGGUCGAGAGACGAAAGAUUUAUCGCCAAAGGAUUGGCCCGCGUUGGAUUAGGUAGUUGGUGGGGUAAUGGCCUACCAAGCCGACGAUCCAUAGCUGGUUUGAGAGGAUGAUCAGCCACACUGGGACUGAGACACGGCCCAGACUCCUACGGGAGGCAGCAGUGGGGAAUCUUAGACAAUGGGGGAAACCCUGAUCUAGCCAUGCCGCGUGAUCGAUGAAGGCCUUAGGGUUGUAAAGAUCUUUCAGGUGGGAAGAUUAUGACUGUACCACAUGAAUAAGCACCGGCAAACUACGUGCCAGCCGCCGCUGUAAAAC
rnacentral:rRNA from 1 species